rnacentral:tRNA from 1 species
GCGGGUGUAGUUCAGUGGUAGAACGCCAGCUUCCCAAGCUUGAGGUGAGGGUUCGAUUCCCUUCACCCGCU